rnacentral:snRNA from 1 species
AUACUUACCUGGCAGGGGAGACACCUUGCUUGUGAGGGAGGUUUUCCCAGGGUUAGACUCAGCCAUUGCACUCCAGCUGUGCUGACCCCUGCAAUUUUGACUGCAUAAUUUGUGGUAGUGGGUGGAAGUUAUUCUAAUAUAACUACAACUU